rnacentral:lncRNA from 1 species
CUGCAUUUUACUCUCAGAAUAGAUACCUCCAAGGUGAUCUCCAAGUUCUUCCUCAGUCUUGAGGUUUGGGAUUCCCGGUUUUUGUCAGUAGAAUUGUGAGAGUAAUAGAUACCUCCAAGGUGAUCUCCAUGUUCUUCCUCAGUCUUGAGGUUUGGGAUUCCUGGUUUGUGUAAGCAGAAUUGUGAGAGUGUGAGUUCAUCCUAUUUUCUUCAGAACGAUUUUUUUCUUGCAUGUAUUCCCUCUUCCUGUAUGAAUUUAGUAUCUUGGGAGAUCAUCUGUAGACAGUGGUUCAAUAAGGAACGCAUAUGAAAAUAAUAUGUUCCAUGAACAGAUUCCUAUGAAGAGUGGGCAAUGACAGAGGUAGUGACCACUGCCAAAGAUGCUCUAGCGUUUAAAGUCCACUCAAGCAUCUGGUAGUUAAUGUUAGUUUUCAAUGGAAAUCUGACCAGCACUACUAGUGAUCAGAUGCUCAAUAAAUGCAGCACAAUUUAGAGUCUGGGUGGAUGAUGUUGGAUCAUUGAUGACCAAAAAAAAAUCAUCUGGGAGUCCUCUGAGACAUCCAUGAUGACCACAACAUUGGGAGUCUGAGGUCCACAUCAUAAUCUAUGCACUGCAUGCUGGGAUACUGGUUAGAGAUGUUAGAUAUAGUCCAA